rnacentral:rRNA from 1 species
UUUGCUUAAAAUAAAAGGUCCAGCCUGCCCAGUGACACUGUUCAACGGCCGCGGUAUCCUAACCGUGCGAAGGUAGCGUAAUCACUUGUUCUUUAAAUGAGGACUAGUAUGAAAGGCACCACGAGAGUCAUACUGUCUCCUCUUUCCAAUCAGUUAAACUAAUCUCCCCGUGAAGAAGCGAGGAUAACUAUAUAAGACGAGAAGACCCUAUGGAGCUUUAAACGAAUAACACUUGCCCACUCACUCCUAUUAAUUUCAGAAAAAUCUAUUACCUUGGCAUUAUACUUAUAAGUUUUUGAUUGGGGUAAUCACGGAACAAAAAAUAACCUCCGCAAUGAAAGACUCUCCACGACUAAGUCAAGAACCACAACUCUACACAUCAACAAAUUGACACCAAUUGACCCAAUUUUUUGAUCAAUGAAC